UAGAAGAGUAGUACACAAAAAUGCACCGAAUUCAGGGGACGAAGAACCUUAUUUUUAGUCUUAUUUGUUAAUUAGCAGGAACGUAGCACAACGUAACAGUGAAAGCAGUGCACUGUUUGUUGUACAUUAAAAGUGCUAUAAAAAUAUUUUGUUCCU